rnacentral:rRNA from 1 species
GAUGAACGCUGGCGGCGUGCCUAAUACAUGCAAGUCGAGCGAACGGACGAGAAGCUUGCUUCUCUGAUGUUAGCGGCGGACGGGUGAGUAACACGUGGAUAACCUACCUAUAAGACUGGGAUAACUUCGGGAAACCGUAGCUAAUACCGGAUAAUAUUUUGAACCGCAUGGUUCAAAAGUGAAAGACGGUCUUGCUGUCACUUAUAGAUGGAUCCGCGCUGCAUUAGCUAGUUGGUAAGGUAACGGCUUACCAAGGCAACGAUGCAUAGCCGACCUGUGAGGGGGAUCGGCCACACUGGAACUUGGACACCGUCCAGACUCCUACGGGAGGGAGCAGUAGGGAAUCUUACGCAAUGGGGGGAAGCCUUGCGGAGCAACGCCGCGGGAGUUGUGAAAGUCUUCCGAUCGGAAAACCCUGUUAUUAGGGAAAAACAUAUUUGGAAGGUACCGUGGCGAUAUUGACGGUAACUAAUCAGAAAGCCACGGCUAACUACGUG